CCUACGUGAGGCUGCAGUGGGGGAUAUUGCACAAUGGGGGAAACCCUGAUGCAGCGACGCCGCGUGAGUGAAGAAGUAUUUCGGUAUGUAAAGCUCUAUCAGCAGGGAAGAAAAUGACAGUACCUGACCAAGAAGCCCCGGCUAACUACGUGCCAGCAGCCGCGGUAAUACGUAGGGGGCAAGCGUUAUCCGGAUUUACUGGGUGUAAAGGGAGCGUUGACGGUCCGGAAAGUCAGCGGUAAAAGCCCGGGGCUCAACCCCGGCGAGCCGUUGAAACUGUCGGACUAGAGACGGCGAGAAGUACGCGGAAUGCGCGGUGUAGCGGUGAAAUGCAUAGAUAUCGCGCAGAACUCCGAUUGCGAAGGCAGCGUACCGGCGCCGGACUGACGCUGAGGCACGAAAGCGUGGGUAUCGAACAGGAUUAGAUACCCUUGUAGUC
rnacentral:rRNA from 1 species